rnacentral:rRNA from 1 species
GCUGACGAGAUGGCGGACGGGUGAGUAAUGCUUGGGAACUUGCCUUUAGGUGGGGGAUAACAGUUGGAAACGACUGCUAAUACCGCAUAAUGUCUACGGACCAAAGGGGGCUUCGGCUCUCGCCUNGAGAGAGGCCCAAGUGAGAUUAGCUAGUUGGUGGGGUAAAGGCCUACCAAGGCAACGAUCUCUAGCUGUUCUGAGAGGAAGAUCAACCACACUGGGACUGAGACACGGCCCAGACUCCUACGGGAGGCAGCAGUGGGGAAUAUUGCACAAUGGGGGAAACCCUGAUGCAGCCAUGCCGCGUGUGUGAAGAAGGCCUUCGGGUUGUAAAGCACUUUCAGUUGUGAGGAAAGGUUGGUAGUUAAUACCUGCCAGCUGUGACGUUAACAACAGAAGAAGCACCGGCUAACUCCGUGCCAGCAGCCGCGGUAAUACGGAGGGUGCGAGCGUUAAUCGGAAUUACUGGGCGUAAAGCGCACGCAGGCGGCUUGUUAAGCUAGAGGUGAAAGCCCCGCGCUCAACGUGGGAACUGCCUUUAGAACUGGCAGGCUAGAGUCUUGGAGAGGGGAGUGGAAUUCCAGGUGUAGCGGUGAAAUGCGUAGAUAUCUGGAGGAACAUCAGUG